rnacentral:lncRNA from 1 species
GCGUCGCUCACGCUGGGAGCUGUAGACCGAAGCUGUUCCUAUUCGGCCAUCUUGGCUCCUCCCUCCCGGUAGUUCUUAUAUGAUUGAAUGUUUGCAUUUAUUUCUGUAUUUCAUUAGAAUUUCACAGGCAAACUUGGGGGAUGGCAGUGUUAGUAUUCUCUCAGGAUAAUCUGGAAGAUAUUUUUAAAAACUUUUGGUUAGCCAGACAAUUCAAUUCACCAAAAGUUUACUACAUGUCUUAGGAUGUUUUCAGCUGGAAAAGCAAAAUGGAACAAAAUUUGAAAGUGGCUUAAACAAUAAAGGAUUUGUUACUUUACAUAAUAUCACAUCUGAAAGUGGACGUUUUCAUAGUGUGCUAAUCCAGUCCUCUUCUAAAUGAUCCAGGAGUCUCGAACCUUUCUACUCUGGAGGCAUUGCCUCUCCUCGUCUUUGCUGAAGCCAGAGGUCAUGUGCUCACACAAUCAUAUGGAGAAGCAUAAAUGAGCUAUUUCUCAUCACCUAGCUCUUUUUAUCAGGAUUAAAAAUCUUUCCUCAAAAAGUCCAGAAGCAUACUUCCCUCUAGCCUAGUUGGCCAGGAUUACAUAACAUGCCUCCGAUGGAACCAAUCACUGGUGAAGGGAGUGCAAUUAUUGUGAUUCUAGAUUAACUGUAAUAAUUGACAUUCACCCCCUGGAGCUGGGAUAGAAAGCCGAUUUACAGCAUCGCUGAGCAGGAAAAAAGAGAUGGCUGUUGAACAGGAGGCAACAUGCAAUGACAUAAUUAAGUACAUGUGCGGGUUUGGCAUAUGGGUAAAUUGCAUGUCACAGUUGUUUGGUGUACACAUUAUUUCAUCACCCAGUUGUUAAUGGAAUUCUAGCCAAAAGGAUGUGGGAGGAGAGGAAGGAGCCACAAAGGGAGAAUCAUGCCUAAGAGUUAACUAUGGUACUCUGAAGCAGAACAGAGACAGCAAAAGCCAAGAUCUUUGAUUAUCAGCAGACCUGCACUACAAGAUGUGUAAAGACAGCUCUUCAGGCAGAAGGAAUUUUACGAGAGAGAAAUUUUGAUGUAUACAAAGAAUGAAGAUUUCUGGAAGUGAUGAAAAUAAAGAUAAGUAUAAAAGUUUUUUCUUUUUAAUUACUCUAAAAGAUUAUUGGUUUUCUAAAGCAAAAAUAAGAGUGAUGUAUUUUGGCAUAUGCAAAAUUAAAAUGUGUGACCGCAAUAGCAUCACUAGUUAUGGGAGGGAGGAAUUGGAAGCAUGUGCUAUAAGGUUUUUAAAGCCUUCGAAGUAGUGUGAUAUUGUUUUAGUAAGACUGUGCUUUAUUUUUAUUUUUAUUAUUGAGAUAGGGUCUCAUUCUGUUGUCUAGGCUGGAGUGCAGUGGUGCAAUCUCAGCUCACUGCAACCUCCACUUCCCAGGUUCAAGCGAUUCUUGUGCCUCAGCCUCCUGAGUAGCUGGGACUAUAGGCACUCGCCAUCACGCCUAGCUAAUUUUUGUAUUUUUAGUAGAGAUGGGGUUCCACCACGUUGGCCAGGCUGGUCUCAAACUCCUGACCUCAGAUGAUCCACUUGCCUCAGCCUCCCAAAGUGCUGGGAUUACAGGCAUGAGCCACUGCGCCCGGCCUAAGACCGUGCUUUAUUAAUGAUGCACAUUAUAAAGCUUGAAACAGCUACUAAAAAUAAAACAUUUCUAAAAGAUAUAUGAAUAAUAGGCCAAAAGUGUAGAUAAGAUUGAAUGUAAAAAGAUAACCAAUCCAAAGCAAGCAGAAAAAGAGGAGCAAAGGAUGGACAGAAAAAUUUAAAACAACUAACAAAAUGGUAGGUUUUAAUAAGAAUAUAUCAAUAAUUAUAUUAAACAAAUUGUCUAAACAUAACAAAAGACACAGAUUAUCAAAUUUAAUAAACAAGCAACUCAUCAACUCUAUAUAGUCUUUAAGAAACUCAUUUUAAAUACAGGUUAAAAUUAAAAGAAUAGAAAAAGAUGGAUUAUAAAAACACUGAUCAAAAGAAAGGUGAAGGGACUAAAUAUCAAAGUAGACUUUAGAACAAAUGUUAUCAGGAAUCAUGAGGAACAUGACAUAAUGAUAAAGAAGACAUGGCAAUCAUAAAUGCGUAUGAACCUAACAAUGGAGCUUCAAAAUACAUUAAGCAAAAACUAAUGGAAUUAAAAGGGAAAUUGAUAAAUCCAUAAUUAUAGUUGGAAAUGUUAAUUUUCUUCUCUCAGUAAUUAAUAGAACAGAUAAAUUUUAAAUAUCAAUAACUUUAGAGAACAUGUGAGUAACACUGUCAACAAACUUAACCUACUUGGCAUUAGUAGAACAUUCUAUCCCACAAUAGAACAAUAGCACAAUACACAUUAUUUUCAAGUGCAAAUGGAAGUACACCAAGAUUGCCAUUUUCUUACUCAUAAAACAAACUUUAGCAAAUUUAAAAGAAUUGAAAUCAUACAAACCAUAUUCUCUGAUCGUACUGAAAUUGAUCUAGAAAUCAACAGAAAAAUACCUGGAAAAUUAUGGGGAAAAUGGAAAUUAAACAAUGCAGUUCUAUGUAAUCUAUGACUCAAUGAGUAAGGCAUAAUGGGAAUGAGAAAAUGUUUAAAAAUGAAUGAUAAUAAAAACACAAUAAAUUAAAAUUUGUGUAAUGCAUCUAAAGCAGUAAUGAAGGGAAAGUUAUAGCAUUAAAUGCUUAUAUAAGACAAGAAGAAAGACCUCUCAUCAGUAAUAUGGGUUUUCAUCUUAAGGAACUAGAAAGAGAAGAACAUAUUAAACCCAAAGCAGAAAGCAAGAAAUCAUAAAGAUCUGUGCAAAAAUCAGUGGAAUAGAAAACAGAGUAACAACAGAGAAAAUCAAUGAAAUCAAAAGCUUGCUCUUUGAGAUCAAUAACACUGAUGAAUCUCUAGUUAUGCUGAUCAGAGAGGGAAGCCAAAAAUAAUCAAUACUGGGGAUGAGAGCAGUGAAAUCACUACAUAGUCCACAGUAAUUAAAAGAUAACAAGGGGAUAUAUGAGCAACGUCAUGCCAAUAAAGUUGUUGCCACGGCUGAGUGUUUUAGGGGAGUGUUUGGCUGGAUGUUUUAGGGCACUGAUUGACUAUAGAUAAAAUAUUUUUUGUGGGUGAUGGAACUAUUCUAUGUCUUGAUUAUAACAUACAGCUGCACAGAUGUAUGUGUUUGUCAAAAUUUAUAGGACUGUACAUUAAAAUUGUUGAAUUUUAUCUUAUUUAAAUAAAUUUGUUAGUGCAGUUUAAGGCACUGUAUUGUGUCUCAGUCAUCCUUAACAUAUGUCGUAGCCAUAUAUAACUUUUGGACUUUUUCUUCUCUUGUUUUCAAUUUACAUAGAUUAAAAGAAUUGUUAGAUAUCAAAACAUUUAUUUAUUAAAACUUCUUGUCAUAGACUGGAGGAGAAUAUACAGCCAUGAAAACUACGUACAAUAUGGCGUCUUGAAUUGGAUCCUGGAGCAGACAAUGGGAUUACUGGGAAAACUGGUGAAGACUGGAAAAUAGAAAAAAUAGAGUCUCCAGGGAACUAAAAAUAGAAUUAAUGUACAGUUCAGCAAUCUUGCUGGGUAUCUACUCAAAGGAGAAGAAAUCAUUAUAUUAAAAAAUAGCUGUACUUCUAUGUCUAUUGCAGCAUCAUUCACAAUAGCAAUGAUACGAAAUCAAUCUAAAAUGUCCAUCAGUGGAUGACUGGAUAAAGAAAAUGUGGUAUUUAUGCAUACAGACACAUACACACAUAUACACACACACAAUAGAAUACUGUUGAGCCAUAAAAAAGAAUGAAAUCAUGUUCUUUUGCAGCAACAUGGAUGGUACUUGAGGCCAUUAUUUUAAGUAUAACCGCUCAGAAACAGAAAGUCAAAUACUGCACAUUCUUACUUAUAAGCGGGAGCUAAAUAAUGUGUACACAUUGACAUAGAGUGUGGAAUAAUAGACAUUAGACAAUCAGAAGGGUGAAACGGUGGUAAGAGGGUAAGGGAUUAGAAAUUACUUAAUGGGUACAAUGUACGUUACUCAGGUGAUGCAUACACUAAAAGCCCAGACUUCGCCACUGCACAAUAUAUCAAUGUAACAAAACUGCACUUAUACGCCUUAAAUUUAUACAAAUAAAAAAAUUUAAAAAUAGAG